rnacentral:piRNA from 1 species
UCNGGAGAGAUGGGCUCUUGCACUUGCUGU